UACGUAGGGUGCAAGCGUUGUCCGGAAUCAUUGGGCGUAAAGCGCGUGUAGGCGGCUAGGUAAGUCUGCUGUGAAAACUCGAGGCUCAACUUCGAGCUGUCGGUGGAAACUUUCUGGCUAGAGUCCGGAAGAGGAGAAUGGAAUUCCUGGUGUAGCGGUGAAAUGCGCAGAUAUCAGGAAGAACACCCGUGGCGAAGGCGGUUCUCUGGGACGGUACUGACGCUGAGACGCGAAAGCGUGGGGAGCGAACGGG
rnacentral:rRNA from 1 species